rnacentral:rRNA from 1 species
GAGCGAACGCUGGCGGCAGGCCUAACCCAUGCAAGUCGAACGAACUCUUCGGAGUUAGUGGCGGACGGGUGAGUAACACGUGGGAACGUGCCUUUUGGUUCGGAAUAACUCAGGGAAACUUGUGCUAAUACCGAAUGUGCCCUUCGGGGGAAAGAUUUAUCGCCAUUAGAGCGGCCCGCGUCUGAUUAGCUAGUUGGUGAGGUAACGGCUCACCAAGGCGACGAUCAGUAGCUGGUCUGAGAGGAUGACCAGCCACACUGGGACUGAGACACGGCCCAGACUCCUACGGGAGGCAGCAGUGGGGAAUCUUGCGCAAUGGGCGAAAGCCUGACGCAGCCAUGCCGCGUGAAUGAUGAAGGUCUUAGGAUUGUAAAAUUCUUUCACCGGGGACGAUAAUGACGGUACCCGGAGAAGAAGCCCCGGCUAACUUCGU